rnacentral:rRNA from 1 species
UGUACCCCAGAGUGAGGAAUAACUGCCCGAAAGGGUGGCUAAUACCGCAUACGGUCUUCGGAUUAAAGCCUUCGGGCGCUUUGGGAACAGCUUGUGUACGAUUAGAUAGUUGGUGAGGUAAAGGCUCACCAAGUCAACGAUCGUUAACUGGUCUGAGAGGAUGAUCAGUCAGACUGGAACUGAGAUACGGUCCAGACUCCUACGGGAGGCAGCAGUGAGGAAUCUUCCACAAUGGGGGCAACCCUGAUGGAGCAACGCCGCGUGCAGGAUGAAGGCCUUCGGGUCGUAAACUGCUUUUAUAGGUGAAUAAUAUGAAUGUAGCUUAUGAAUAAGCACCGGCUAACUACGUGCCAGCAGCCGCGGUCAUACGUAGGGUGCAAGCAUUAUCCGGAGUGACUGGGCGUAAAGAGUUGCGUAGGUGGUUUGUCAAGUGAAUAGUGAAAUCUGGUGGCUCAACCACACAGACUAUUAUUCAAACUGGCAAACUCGAGAAUGGCAGAGGUAACUGGAAUUUCUAGUGUAGGAGUGAAAUCCGUAGAUAUUAGAAGGAACACCAAUGGCGUAGGCAGGUUACUG